ACCUGGGUGGCUUAGUCAGUUAAGUGUCUGACUUUGGCUCAGGUCAUGAACUCAAGACUCGUGAGUUCGAGCCCCGCCUCAGGCU
rnacentral:tRNA from 1 species